GGGCCCGCACAAGCGGUGGAUUAUGUGGUUUAAUUCGAAGCAACGCGCAGAACCUUACCUGGGCUUGAAAUCCUGAGAACCUGUCCUAAAAGACGGGGUGCCCUUCGGGGAAUUCAGUGACAGGCGCUGCAUGGCUGUCGUCAGCUCGUGUCGUGAGAUGUUGGGUUAAGUCUCGCAACGAGCGCAACCCCUAUCCUUAGUUGCCAGCAUUAAGUUGGGCACUCUAGGGAGACUGCCUGGGCUAACCAGGAGGAAGGUGGGGAUGACGUCAAGUCCUCAUGGCCCUUAUGUCCAGGGCUACACACGUAAUACAAUGGUGCAUACAAAGGGAAGCGACCCUGCGAAGGUGAGCAAAUCUCAAAAAGUGCAUCUCAGUCCGGAUUGGAGUCUGCAACUCGACUCCAUGAAGUUGGAAUCGCUAGUAAUCG
rnacentral:rRNA from 1 species